rnacentral:rRNA from 1 species
UGAACGCUGGCGGCAGGCCUAACACAUGCAAGUCGAGCGGAUGAGAAGAGCUUGCUCUUCGAUUCAGCGGCGGACGGGUGAGUAAUGCCUAGGAAUCUGCCUGGUAGUGGGGGACAACGUUUCGAAAGGAACGCUAAUACCGCAUACGUCCUACGGGAGAAAGCAGGGGACCUUCGGGCCUUGCGCUAUCAGAUGAGCCUAGGUCGGAUUAGCUAGUUGGUGAGGUAAUGGCUCACCAAGGCGACGAUCCGUAACUGGUCUGAGAGGAUGAUCAGUCACACUGGAACUGAGACACGGUCCAGACUCCUACGGGAGGCAGCAGUGGGGAAUAUUGGACAAUGGGCGAAAGCCUGAUCCAGCCAUGCCGCGUGUGUGAAGAAGGUCUUCGGAUUGUAAAGCACUUUAAGUUGGGAGGAAGGGCAGUAAGUUAAUACCUUGCUGUUUUGACGUUACCGACAGAAUAAGCACCGGCUAACUCUGUGCCAGCAGCCGCGGUAAUACAGAGGGUGCAAGCGUUAAUCGGAAUUACUGGGCGUAAAGCGCGCGUAGGUGGUUCGUUAAGUUGGAUGUGAAAGCCCCGGGCUCAACCUGGGAACUGCAUCCAAAACUGGCGAGCUAGAGUAUGGUAGAGGGUGGUGGAAUUUCCUGUGUAGCGGUGAAAUGCGUAGAUAUAGGAAGGAACACCAGUGGCGAAGGCGACCACCUGGACUGAUACUGACACUGAGGUGCGAAAGCGUG